rnacentral:rRNA from 1 species
UAGGGAAUCUUCCGCAAUGGGCGAAAGCCUGACGGAGCAACGCCGCGUGAGUGAUGAAGGUCUUCGGAUCGUAAAACUCUGUUAUUAGGGAAGAACAAAUGUGUAAGUAACUAUGCACGUCUUGACGGUACCUAAUCAGAAAGCCACGGCUAACUACGUGCCAGCAGCCGCGGUAAUACGUAGGUGGCAAGCGUUAUCCGGAAUUAUUGGGCGUAAAGCGCGCGUAGGCGGUUUUUUAAGUCUGAUGUGAAAGCCCACGGCUCAACCGUGGAAGGUCAUUGGAAACUGGAAAACUUGAGUGCAGAAAAGGAAAGUGGAAUUCCAGGUGUAGCGGUGAAAUGCGCAGAGAUAUGGAGGAACACCAGUGGCGAAGGCGACUUUCUGGUCUGUAACUGACGCUGAUGUGCGAAAGCGUGGGGAUCAAACAGG